rnacentral:rRNA from 1 species
UACGUAGGGGGCAAGCGUUGUCCGGAUUUAUUGGGCGUAAAGAGCGUGUAGGCGGUUUGGUAGGUCCGUUGUGAAAACUCGAGGCUCAACCUCGAGACGCCGAUGGAAACCAUCAGACUAGAGUCCGGAAGAGGAGAGUGGAAUUCCUGGUGUAGCGGUGAAAUGCGCAGAUAUCAGGAAGAACACCCGUGGCUAAGGCGGCUCUCUAGUACGGUACUGACGCUGAGGUGCGAAAGCGUGGGGAGCAAACAGG